AUUGAACGCUGGCGGCAGGCCUAACACAUGCAAGUCGAGCGGAUGAGAAGAGCUUGCUCUUCGAUUCAGCGGCGGACGGGUGAGUAAUGCCUAGGAAUCUGCCUGGUAGUGGGGGACAACGUUUCGAAAGGAACGCUAAUACCGCAUACGUCCUACGGGAGAAAGCAGGGGACCUUCGGGCCUUGCGCUAUCAGAUGAGCCUAGGUCGGAUUAGCUAGUUGGUGAGGUAAUGGCUCACCAAGGCUACGAUCCGUAACUGGUCUGAGAGGAUGAUCAGUCACACUGGAACUGAGACACGGUCCAGACUCCUACGGGAGGCAGCAGUGGGGAAUAUUGGACAAUGGGCGAAAGCCUGAUCCAGCCAUGCCGCGUGUGUGAAGAAGGGUCUUCGGAUUGUAAAGCACUUUAAGUUGGGAGGAAGGCAGUAAGCUAAUACCUUGCUGUUUUGACGUUACCGACAG
rnacentral:rRNA from 1 species